GACCACUGCUGGCUGUGCGACUGAGUCUUUCAACACGGCUGGUCUGUCUGGUCAAGCUAUAGGCUUACUUAAUGGUGUUGUGGAAAAAACUUUGGAUCCUUUGUUGAAUACUGUGAUAGACACCGUGGGAACUCUUUUAGGAGGCAUUUUAAACCCCAUUCUUUGUAACAAGGAUGGAGGUCUUCUAGGUCUUGGAAUUUCACUUGGAAAUCCAGUCGGCAAAUG